ACCUGGCUGGCUCAGUUGGUGGAGUAUGUGACUCUUAAUCUCAGUAUUGUGAGUUUGAGCCUCACGUUGAAUU
rnacentral:tRNA from 1 species